rnacentral:rRNA from 1 species
CGGGGUGCAGCAGGCGCGAAAACUUUGCAAUGCGGGAAACCGUGACAAGGGAACUCUGAGUGCCCGUUAAAUCGGGCUGUCCAUCGGUUUAAAUAACCGGUGAAGAAAGGGCCGGGCAAGACCGGUGCCAGCCGCCGCGGUAAUACUGGCGGCUCGAGUGGUGGCCACUAUUACUGGGCUUAAAGCGUUCGUAGCUGGUUUGUUAAGUCUCUGGGGAAAUCUUCCGGCUUAACCGGAAGGCGUCUCAGGGAUACUGGCAGACUAGGGACCGGGAGAGGUGAGAGGUACUCCAGGGGUAGGAGUGAAAUCCUGUAAUCCUUGGGGGACCACCUGUGGCGAAGGCGUCUCACCAGAACGGCUCCGACAGUGAGGGACGAAAGCUGGGGGAGCAAACCGGAUUAGAUACCCGGGUAGUCCCAGCUGUAAACGAUGCGCGUUAGGUGUAUCGGUGACCACGAGUCACCGAGGUGCCGAAGAGAAAUCGUGAAACGUGCCGCCUGGGAAGUACGGUCGCAAGGCUGAAACUUAAAGGAAUUGGCGGGGGAGCAC